GAGUUUGAUCGUGGCUCAGAUUGAACGCUGGCGGAAUGCUUUACACAUGCAAGUCGAGCGGCAGCGCGGGGCAACCUGGCGGCGAGCGGCGAACGGGUGAGUAAUGCAUCGGAACAUGUCCAUGUCGUGGGGGAUAGCCCGGCGAAAGCCGGAUUAAUACCGCAUACGCCCGAGAGGGGGAAGUGGGGGACCGCAAGGCCUCACGCGAUUGGGUUGGCCGAUGUCCGAUUAGCUAGUUGGUGGGGUAAAGGCCCACCAAGGCGAUGAUCGGUAGCUGGUCUGAGAGGAUGAUCAGCCACACUGGGACUGAGACACGGCCCAGACUCCUACGGGAGGCAGCAGUGGGGAAUUUUGGACAAUGGGGGCAACCCUGAUCCAGCCAUUCCGCGUGAGUGAAGAAGGCC
rnacentral:rRNA from 1 species